GACGAACCGUCCGAACGUUAUUCGGAAUUACUGGGCUUAAAGGGUGCGUAGGCGGCCCUGAAAGUUGGGUGUGAAAUCCCUCGGCUCAACCGAGGAAUUGCGCCCAAAACUACAGGGCUUGAGGGAGACAGAGGUGAGCGGAACUUGCGGUGGAGCGGUGAAAUGCGUUGAUAUCGCAAGGAACACCAGGGGCGAAAGCGGCUCACUGGGUCUUUUCUGACGCUGAGGCACGAAAGCUAGGGGAGCGAACGGGAUUAGAUACCCGAGUAGUCC
rnacentral:rRNA from 1 species